rnacentral:ncRNA from 2 species
GCUGUCACCUCGGGGUGCCUGGACACAGGCUGAGAUGCAUAUCGCGAACCCGUAGAACCUGAACCGGUUAACACCGGCGGAGGGAAGGUUUGGUUCAUCCCA